UACGGAGGGUGCAAGCGUUAUCCGGAUUCACUGGGUUUAAAGGGUGCGUAGGUGGGCAGGUAAGUCAGUGGUGAAAUCUCCGGGCUUAACCCGGAAACUGCCAUUGAUACUAUCUGUCUUGAAUACCGUGGAGGUGAGCGGAAUAUGUCAUGUAGCGGUGAAAUGCUUAGAUAUGACAUAGAACACCAAUUGCGAAGGCAGCUCACUACGCGAAUAUUGACACUGAGGCACGGAAGCGUGGGGAUCAAACAGG
rnacentral:rRNA from 1 species